rnacentral:ncRNA from 1 species
AAUCUUAAGGACACUUAAGGACAUUGUAAUCUAUUAAUGUUUAAAUGCGUAUUAUAAGAGCAUUGGCAAUAGUCUAUCAAAUACCGCAAAAGUUCUAAUCAUAAACGAUGCCAGCUAGCAAUUGGGUGUAGCUACUUUUAUGCCUUUCUCAAUGGCUUCCUGGGAAACCAAAGCUUUUGGGCUCUGGGGGAAGUAUGGCAGCAAAGUUGUAACUUAAAUGAAUUGACCGAAGGGAUUACCAGGAAUGGAACGGCUUAAUUUGACUCAACAUGGGAAAACUCACCAGAUCCGAAGAUAAAUGAGUAAGACAGAGUGAUAGCUCUAUCCCGAAUCUACAACAUUUCUUAGGAACUAUUGGCAAACACAGUCUUCAUGAUGCACCAACGACAACGGCAUGAGACUCAUAGAAUUUGCAGUGUCACGAAAUAUGGUUAUAAAUUGUA